CCUACGGGUGGCUGCAGUGAGGAAUAUUGGUCAAUGGCCGAGAGUCUGAACCAGCCAAGUCGCGUGAGGGAAGACGGCCCUACGGGUUGUAAACCUUUUUUGUCGGGGAGCAAAGAGAGUCACGUGUGACUCCUUGAGCGUACCCGAAGAAAAAGCAUCGGCUAACUCCGUGCCAGCAGCCGCGGUAAUACGGAGGAUGCGAGCGUUAUCCGGAUUUAUUGGGUUUAAAGGGUGCGUAGGCGGUGUGUUAAGUCAGCGGUAAAAUUGCGGGGCUCAACCCCGCCGGGCCGUUGGAACUGGCAGACUUGAGUGCGCGAGAAGUGAGCGGAAUGCGCGGUGUAGCGGUGAAAUGCGUAGAUAUCGCGCAGAACUCCGGUUGUGAAGGCAGCGUACCGGCGCGAAACUGACGCUGAGGCACGAAAGCGUGGGGAUCGAACAGGAUUAGAUACCCUAGUAGUC
rnacentral:rRNA from 1 species